AUUGAACGCUGGCGGCAUGCUUUACACAUGCAAGUCGAACGGUAACAGGCCUUCGGGUGCUGACGAGUGGCGAACGGGUGAGUAAUGCAUCGGAACGUACCCAUAGGUGGGGGAUAACGCAGCGAAAGCUGUGCUAAUACCGCAUUUGAUCUGAGGAUGAAAGCGGGGGACCUAGCAGCAAUCUUUGGCCUCGCGCCUUUGGAGCGGCCGAUGUCGGAUUAGCUAGUUGGUGGGGUAAAGGCCUACAAACGGGACGAUCCGUAGCUGGUCUGAGAGGGCGAAGAGCGACAGUGGGACUGAGACACGGCACAGACUCCUAGGGGAGGCAGAAGUGGGGAAUGUUGGACAAUGGGGGCAAGACUGAACCAGCAAUGCAGCGUGCGGGAAGAAGGCCUGCGGGUUGGAAAACGCCUUUGGCAGGAACGAAACGGUGUCCGAUAAUACCGGGCGCUAAUGACGGUACCUGCAGAAUAAGCACCGGCUAACUACGUG
rnacentral:rRNA from 1 species